CUCUGUGGAAGCUAUGCACUGUUGAAAACAGUGUCACUCGCGCUUGUUGCGCAUCCCUUCUCACCUUGUUCACCCCUGACCAGUUUGCAUGCCUGAAUACCCCACACACCAGUGUAAUCAAUCAUCUAAAGUGGAAUGUGCUGCAUGAUGUCAAAUGUUAGGAAUCCAUGCACUAUUAAUGCUAUUCUACAUUCAAAGGGUCAGUGUAUUGGAAGCAGAACUCGAGGAGGGUGUUUGUGUUAAAGGAGUCUGUGUUCCAUUUGCUAAAAGAGCAGAGGGAAGCAAAAAGGAAGAGAGCAAGGUACCACACAACCAGGAUCAGAAAAGUAGCGAAGUGUAGCUUUUGUUACCCCCACUAGUUACACUUGGUAACUAGAGGGGGUAAUAAGGUCUGUUUGAACCUGCCGCUAAUAUUACAUAUUAUGUAAAGAACAGAAUAUAACAAAGGAACAGAAAAUAACAAGUUGCCAUUACAACACAGUUAACUCUCCACCAGAAGUAAAUGAGCGUACAGGAAGAGCCUUUCAUACACGCAAGAUGUGAUUUAACCAGUUCUGUUUUGUCUUAAUAGCCAUGGAGAUGGAGGGGGCGGUCUAGAAGAAAUAUCCAGGAAAAUUGAAGAUGUGCUGUCUGUAGCACAGGAACUUGGUGGAGUUGCUGCCUCUUUAAGGAGCCUGGUACAACUCAGCAAUGCAACAACAUGCCUUGUGAUCUCAUCACAGCAAGCUGAGGAGAUAAAGGCGUUGUUUGCCUGUUUAGUCUGCAAAGGGCCAAUGAAUGAACCUGUGCUGUCUUCAUGCUGCUCUAGUCUGGUAGGGUGCAGAUUGUGUGUGGAGUGGUGGGGCCUAACCUCAGACAUUUGUCUGAAAUGCAGAGCUUCAAACGUCACCCUACAGCGAGUCAAUGGGUUAGCAGAGCUGGUAACCAUUUUUCAGCACAUAUUACUUUAACCAUGUGUGAAUACGUUGGAUAGUGGCUGGCAGCUGUAGGUUUAAUUUUUUAGUUAUGUAUUUUUGAAGUUAACAAGCUGCUUAAAAAUGUAAUGGAAUUGUUAAAUGUGUAGAUUGUUAUUGAAGUCUUGCACUUGAUGUUCAACGUUUAAUCUGUUAUGGAACACCAUACACAACACUUUAAAAAAAUGUUUCAAACUGCGAAAGAGUUAACAGAAAUUGUGAGAAAAAGAACAAUUUUAUUAGAAUGUAUGGAGUAUUAGAAUACAUGGAAUAUGAAGAAUCUUGCACUGCAUCUUGUAUGUUACAGAAAAUACAUUAAACAGAAAAUGUAAAGAAUUGUACUAUUUGUAUAACAAUAAACAACUUUUGAAGUUG